GGCUGGCUAAACAAACAAACAAAACAUAGUGUGCAUGUGUAUGAAAUAUCAGGAUUAACUGUGGAAAAGUUCAUGACUGAAAUGUCCGUGUGUAUCAGCUUCGUGUGCAGCCGCCGGCGAAUCGGAGUGUAUGACUAAAAUCCAUCUGAGUUGGCCUACUGACUGUUGAUGUCCAGUCAAUGAACGCCAGUGGGUGGAGCCAAGGAUAUGAUGAUGUGCUUUCCUCUGGGGCAGAGAAGAAGGAGACUGCAGACCUGGAGCAGUGACAAACGCCAGUCCUACUCGACAGAUUGCAAUUAAAUCCGCUUAAUCACAGCGCACCAUUCCACGCAUUGUAAACAAUAAGGGAUAGCAACACUUUGAAUACACAGAAUCCUAGUUUUCCUUAUCUACUUUGUACUUCGUUAUCAACAAUCAAACAAAAAUGAAAUAGUCAUUUUGAUGGCAUUGAUAAACCUGUGUUGGUUUUCUGUGGCAGGGUAGAAAGCAAGCCAUCAAAAUCGUGUAAUUUACGUGAGAGGCACUCAGGCAAAGGAAAAAUGACGACUGUUGCUUGUUCUCACACCACAGCAUCAAGCUUCUGUCAUGCUAACAUUGACCCCAGGGGAUCUUAUGAAAAUUUUUUCAUUAUUUUACUCAAAGUCAAUGAAAAUCAAGCAGACAAGACAAGUAUGAAGCAGAGGAUCUUAAUAAGGUAUUACGAUCAUUUUAUGCAUCUGUGCAAAGUUUCGCGGAAGGAUAAAAAUGUUAAUUUAAAACAAA